rnacentral:rRNA from 1 species
UACGUAGGGUGCAAGCGUUGUCCGGAAUUAUUGGGCGUAAAGAGCUUGUAGGCGGUUUGUCGCGUCUGCUGUGAAAUUUCGGGGCUCAACCCCGAACUUGCAGUGGGUACGGGCAGACUAGAGUGUGGUAGGGGAGACUGGAAUUCCUGGUGUAGCGGUGGAAUGCGCAGAUAUCAGGAGGAACACCGAUGGCGAAGGCAGGUCUCUGGGCCGCAACUGACACUGAGGAGCGAAAGCAUGGGGAGCGAACAGG